rnacentral:rRNA from 1 species
CCUACGGGAUGCAGCAGUGGGGAAUCUUGCACAAUGGAGGAAACUCUGAUGCAGCGAUGCCGCGUGAGUGAAGAAGGCCUUUGGGUUGUAAAGCUCUUUUGUAGGGGAAGAUAAUGACUGUACCCUAAGAAUAAGGUCCGGCUAACUUCGUGCCAGCAGCCGCGGUAAUACGAAGGGACCUAGCGUAGUUCGGAAUUACUGGGCGUAAAGCGCGCGUAGGCCGUUGAGUUAGUUAAUUGUGAAAUCCCAAAGCUUAACUUUGGAACUGCAAUUAAAACUGCUCGACUAGAGUUUGAUAGAGGAAAGCGGAAUACAUAGUGUAGAGGUGAAAUUCGUAGAUAUUAUGUAGAACACCAGUUGCGAAGGCGGCUUUCUGGAUCAACACUGACGCUGAGGCGCGAAAGUAUGGGUAGCAAAGAGGAUUAGAUACCCUCGUAGUCCAUACCAUAAACGAUGAUUGCUAGAUGUUGGAAAUUUAUUUUCAGUAUCGCAGCUAACGCAUUAAGCAAUCCGCCUGGGGAGUACGACCGCAAGGUUAAAACUCAAAGGAAUUGACGG